GCCAGCGUGGUGCAAUGGUUUGAGCUUUGGGCUAUGACUCUAGAGACCAGGGUUUGAAUCCCUGCUCGGUCA